GACGAACGCUGGCGGCGUGCUUAACACAUGCAAGUCGAACGGAAAGGCCCUGCUUGCAGGGUGCUCGAGUGGCGAACGGGUGAGUAACACGUGGGUGAUCUGCCCCUUACUUUGGGAUAAGCCUGGGAAACUGGGUCUAAUACUGGAUAGGACCAUGCUGUUGGUGGUGUGGUGGAAAGAUUAGUUUCGGUAAGGGAUGAGCUCGCGGCCUAUCAGCUUGUUGGUGGGGUAAUGGCCUACCAAGGCGUCGACGGGUAGCCGGCCUGAGAGGGUGGACGGCCACAUUGGGACUGAGAUACGGCCCAGACUCCUACGGGAGGCAGCAGUGGGGAAUAUUGCACAAUGGGCGCAAGCCUGAUGCAGCGACGCCGCGUGGGGGAUGACGGCCUUCGGGUUGUAAACUCCUUUCAGCCAUGACGAAGCCCUUGUGGUGACGGUAGUGGUAGAAGAAGCACCGGCUAACUACGUG
rnacentral:rRNA from 1 species